AGGGAGGAUGUGCAUAUGAAUAUUGAGGCGGCUCUCACAGAUAUGAUUGGUGAACCUGCAAAGAAGCUUCAUACUGCGAGGAGUCGGAAUGAUCAAGUUGUGACGGAUCUCCGGUUGUGGUGUCGGGAUGCUAUUGAUGGAAUUGUCACGCGGAUCAGGCAGCUUCAGAUGUCACUAGUUUGCUUGGCAAUUAAAAAUAAGGGAGUGAUAGUUCCUGGAUAUACUCAUCUACAGAGGGCACAACCUGUGUUACUGCAACAUCAUCUUUUGUCAUAUGUUGAGCAGCUUGAACGUGAUGCUGGUCGAUUGACUGACUGUAAGGACCGGAUGAAUUACUGCCCCCUCGGUGCUUGUGCUCUGGCUGGUACAGGCCUUCCUAUUAACAGGUUCGCUACAUCAGUUGCAUUGGGAUUUAUAGCACCAAUGAGGAACAGCAUUGAUGCAGUAUCAGAUCGUGAUUUCGUACUGGAAUUUCUCUCUGCCAAUUCCAUUACUGCCAUUCAUCUUUCAAGGCUUGGUGAAGAAUGGGUAAUGUGGGCAUCAGAAGAAUUUGGGUUCUUGACCCCAAGUGACUCAGUUUCUACUGGAAGCAGCAUCAUGCCCCAAAAGAAAAAUCCUGAUCCUAUGGAACUUGUCCGUGGAAAGUCUGCUAGGGUUGUCGGAGAUCUUGUUACACUUCUAGUCCUUUGUAAAGGACUACCUCAGUCCUACAAUCGUGAUCUGCAGGAAGACAAAGAACCUCUAUUUGAUAGUGUUAAAACUAUCAGAGGAAUGCUUGAAGUAACAACUGAGUUUUCACAGAACAUUUCUUUUAACCUUGCAAAAAUUGAAGCAACUCUACCAGCUGGGCAUCUUGAUGCCACGACCCUUGCAGAUUAUCUUGUGAAGAAGGGUCUUCCCUUUAGAACUUCACAUGGCAUAGUUGCAAGAACUGUUGCUCUGUGCGCCUCAAAGAGCUGCCGACUUGAGGAUCUCACUCUUGAUCAACUACGCAGUAUAAAUCCAGUGUUCGAUGAGGAUGUCUACG
rnacentral:misc_RNA from 1 species